UGUACUGUUUGAUCUGAGUUCUACCGAUUUGUUUAGUGUGUGAGCUAGGUUUGACUUUAAUGCUCUUGCUGGCUUAAAUUUCAAAAGGUAUCACCAUGUCGGUGGCAUUCGCACCUCACAGGCAGCGAGGGAAGGGUGAUAUAACACCCGCCGGAAUACAAAAGUUACUCGAUGAAAACAACCAGCUCAUCCAAUGUAUUAUGGAUUUCCAGAGUAAAGGCAAAACAGCAGAAUGCUCACAUUAUCAACAGAUGCUGCACAGAAAUCUAGUGUACCUGGCCACGAUAGCAGACUCCAAUCAGAACAUGCAGUCCCUCCUCCCUGCUCCUCCCACUCAAAACAUGCCCAUGGGCCCUGGUGGGAUGAACCAAAGUGGACCCCCUCCUCAGCCUCCUCACGGUCACAACAUGCCCUCUGAGGGUAUGGUCAGUGGUGGCCCUCCAGCCCCACACAUGCAGAACCAGAUGAAUGGACAGAUGCCUGGUCCUAAUCAUAUGCCCAUGCAAGGUCCCGGCCCCGGCCCUAACCAGCCUCCCAACAUGCCCAGUGGCUCCAUGAAUAUGCCCCCCAGCAGCCAUGGCACGAUGGGUGGUUACAAUCACACUGUCCCUUCUUCCCAAGGCAUGCCAGCUCAGAGCCAAAUGAACAUGACCCAGGGCCAGCCUAUGGGAAAUUAUGGGCCUCGGCCAAACAUGAACAUGCAGCCCAAUCAAGGCCCAAUGAUGCACCAGCAGCCUCCCUCCCAGCAGUAUAACAUGCCUCCCGGCGGUGGCGGACAGCACUAUCAAGGACAGCAGAACCCCAUGGGCAUGAUGGGUCAGGUCAACCAAGGGAACCAUGUCAUGGGGCAGAGGCCAAUGCCGCCCUACAGACCUCCUCAGCAAGGACCCCCUCAGCAGUACCCAGGGCAGGAAGACUACUAUGGGGACCAGUACAGUCACGCAGGACAGGGAGCCUCAGAAGGUAACGCCCAGUACGGCCAACAGCAGGAAGCAUACCAGCAAGGCCCUCCCCAGCAACAGGGCUACCCUCCUCAGCAGCAGUACCCGGGUCAGCAGGGCUACCCACCACAACAGCAGGGCUAUGGUCCCUCUCAAACUGCCCCUGGACAGUAUCCUAACUACCCCCAGGGGCAGGGGCAGCAGUACGGGGCCUACCGGCCCCCCCAACCUGGACCCCCACAAGGCCAACAGCAGCGCCCUUACGGCUACGACCAGGUGAGUAUAACCACAACACAGGGUAGUCUUGUUUAUUAGUUUAUAGUUUCUUGUUACUGUGAUUAUUGCCAGAGUUAGUUGUGUAUUUUGUGGGUGAAUAUAAACAUUUAAUGGUAGUAUGUUGUGCAUGCUAUCAUCAUUUUGGGGAUUAGCUCUGUUCUUCCAAAUGGGUGUUUGUUAUUGUUGUCUUUCAUUGUUCAUUUGAGUAGUAACUGACUAAUGUGGGAUGCAGAUUGAGUGAAAUAUGAGGGCUUUAAGACGAUUCUUCCUUUAUGGUGAUACUUACUGCUCUCGUGUUUAAAGGGAGAUCUAUUUGUUGCCCUGUAUUUCCUGUGGUCUUAUGUGAGGACCAUAGCUACACUUUGAUAUCUUUAUCUUUGAACAUUCAGGGGCACAUGAGGAAAUAAAGACCCGGGGAUUUGAACCCCUGACUAGCUCUAUAAGAAGCAAAGGGCCAGUAUGGAAAUUACCAGCAAUGAGAGAUGGUCACAGCAACCCACACAGCUCUGCUCUGAUCUCUGUUGAGCUUUGACAUCUGGUCAACUGCUA